GAUGAAGAACGCAGCGAAAUGCGAUAAGUAGUGUGAAUUGCAGAUUUCAGUGAAUCAUCGAAUCUUUGAACGCACAUUGCGCCCUUUGGUAUUCCUUAGGGCAUGCCUGUUCGAGCGUCAUUUAAACCUUCAAGCUCAGCUUGGUGAUGGGUGACUGUCCGCUGCCUCCCCCCGGGGUGCGCCGCGGACUCGCCUCAAAACGAUUGGCGGCCGGUACGUUGGCUUCGAGCGCAGCAGAAACGCGUAACUCGAGGUCCCCGUGGCGGCUCCCAGAAGCUAUCUUCACAAUUUUGACCUCGGAUCAGGUAGGGAUACCCGCUGAACUUAAGCAUAUCAAUAAGCGGAGGA
rnacentral:misc_RNA from 1 species